GUUGGGGGCAUUAGUACUUAACUGUCGGAGGUGGAAUUCUCAGAUUUGUUAAAGACUGACUUAUGCGAAAGCAUUUGCCAAGGAUGUUUUCAUUAAUCAAGAACGAAAGU
rnacentral:rRNA from 1 species